rnacentral:rRNA from 1 species
GUCGUGCGAUACAUGAGUUUUCAGCUUCUAUAAAGGUUGGUUCUUCUUGGUUGCCAGCCCGAGCCCGUAAUCAGUGUCACACCGACGAUCGAUCCUCAUCGACAUUAACUACAACCUGAAGGGUCUGACGUGAGUGAGUGAGAGAGACAUAUAUAAGAUAUAUAGCUACAAGUAUAGGAAUCAACGGAAGGACGCACAAUGAGGCGUGUCUAGAGCGUGAGUGAGUGACGAUCAAUCGAUCGAUCGUCUCUAACGUCGGGAUUAAACUACUAUCACGUCUGUAUGGUAAAUUGAUCGAUGAUCGAUCAUGCACUUUCUCUGCUUAUUCGAAGAUGCAUAACUCCAGUUUAUUUGUAGUAGUACCUGAACUGUUCAGAGUGACGGUACACCACCCGGUAUCGAGAAGAAAAGUAAUGACAUAACCGGUGGUUCUAGUGUUCUCGUUCUUAGUGGUUGUAACUAGGUGUCGCAUGUUGUCCGGUUGAAGGUGGGUACCACUUACCUGAACGAGAGGAUCCUAAUAAUGGAUGGGAAGACUUCUUCCCAGAUGGUGGAUACCAGUUAAUAGAUAUACAAUUGAUACCGUCACAGAAGUGACAUUCAACGAAACCUCACUAGUUCCAUUGUGAGAACUAGCCCGGUCUCCGCUGCUGAGUAAAGAAGGUUCCAAACCUCAGUCUCUAAUCGGUACCAUUAGACGAACUCAAGUGUCACGGGUACAAACCGUUCCGUCAACCAAUACCAUCUCUAUGGCGGUGGGCUUACCUUGUUUACGCGAAGGUGUCACUUCGUGACUCCCGUAGGUCCAAUUCCUCGGUACAAAGAGGUUACGAAGUUCUUCACCUCCUAAAGAAACGUUUCACCCCUCUCCUUCCGCAUCAACUAGAUUUCGAACUCAAGAUCGUCGAUGAAUACAACUAUAGUCCGACUACAAACGAACCUUUUCUCCAGGCCCUCUUAUACAAACUACUUCAGAUGUGUGAAAAAGCGCUCUAGCUUUUCCCACACUGGAACUAGUCGAAGAACAAGGGUAUAGAGGGUUGAGGUCGUUUGACCGUCGCACUAUCCCGCGCAUAUUCCGAUUGUCUCUAGGAGAGAUUACAACAGCUUAGGGCAUUCUCGAGGCCCGCUCACCUCCUCCUGUGCGACGUCUUUGACUAACUGAGGUUCAUGUUUCUACCAGCGGGAUGUUGUCAUCUUCUCCAUCAGCCCAACUAGUAACCGAACGACAAACGACCUUUUGUGUGGUCGAGAGUAUGAUCAUGAACCUGACCUCGAACAGAAGAGUCGGUAGGUCGGAAGAAUUCUCGACGGUAACUCCUCGUUGUAGUUCAGCGGUUCUUUAUGUUCCUGCCUGAUCUUAUGUUACGGAAGAAUCUCUACCUAUGCGACGUAUUAACGUAGUUCCUCCGCGACGCCUUCUUGGGACGCUGUGGUGACGACCAAGCGUCCCAGGUAUUCGCGAAGUGCCACGUCUGCUUUCUUCCGGUUGUUAUACUGUAGGUCGUCCUGAUGUAGCAUCGUUGAGGAUGAUAUCAUUUGUUGUUAUAGGGAAUGUAAAUAUGCCUGGGAGUCCACAUACUAGGUUUAGCCAAACCGGGGCUUUCUUCUCUCCUGUUUCACCCACCGUUCAAGAGAAUGUGUAGUAAACCACCACCUUCCGUGCAAACGUGGCCUCUCCGAAUACGAAUGUACGUUGAGUUUCACUAUACCUCGGUAAACGACUCCUUGAAACUAGAGCUUAACCAGAGAGGGAAGGGAUUGUGUCUGACCUCGUUCAAGAACGGUCUAGGUGUCCCUUUUAAUGAGCACUCUAUAUGCUCUUUACCUUAAAUUAAACGUCAGCGAAUUGAUAUACUAGAUGAAGAUGCACAUAAGUACGUUAGUUAUACAUGACAUACGUAUACAGAAAAGUAUACACAUUGGAUGUUUUUUCGUACAAACAUAAACACACUACGUAUGAACAUAACCCUCUGUUAGUACAACGCAACUCAUCGCCUGAUCCCCAACUCAUACCAGUUAUGGGUGUUGAUACAGGUAUUAUUUAUUUAUUUAUAUAACACAAACAACGAAAGCU